rnacentral:rRNA from 1 species
AACGAACGCUGGCGGCAUGCCUAACACAUGCAAGUCGAACGAGACCAUAGGGACAAGUGGCGCACGGGUGCGUCACGCGUGGGAACCUGCCCUUAGGCUCGGAAUACUACUCCUAAAGGGGUGCUAAUAUCGGAAAAUGUCUUCGGACACAAGAUUUGACGUACUUGGAUGGGCCCGGGUUGUAUUAGCUUGUUGCGAGGGGAAAAGCCUAUGAAGGCGUCGCUCCAUAGCUGGGUUGAGAGGAACGUCAGCCACACUGGGAGGAGGACACGGCCCGGAAUACUACAGGAUGCGGGAGUGGCUAAUAUAGGACUACGGGCGAAAGGCUGAUCCAGUUAUGCCGCGUGAGUGAUUAUGGCCUUAGGGUAGUACAGCUGUUUUACCCGGGGUGAUACUGACGGUACCGAGAGAAUAAGCUCCGGCUAACUCCGUG